UGUGUGUGUGUCAAAGAAGAGAUAGAUGAGAAAAGAUCGGCUUCUAGCUAUAGACGUUGAAGUAUCAGAGGAGAAAUGUUUGGAACGUUGGAGAGAGGGAUGAGAGAGACUGGGGAACGUGCUCUGGUGGCUGCCGGGGAUGUGAUGUGUGAGGUGCGCGACCUCUAGAAGGCACAGUGAUAAGACAAUAUCUAAGGAAAGCGACUGAGCCUGAGUAACAGCUGGACUAGAUACUUGAAUGGCUGCCUCACAAGCUGGUAUUUUGGGCCGCAAUCGAAACCAUGUUCUGUGGUCUAUCACCUCUGUGUACAAUGGCGUCGUGCCUUUCAAUUUUGCAGAAACCAAGUGUUCUGUCUACGAUACAAUGCAGGAGACGAUCAAUCAUGUUUAGAUAAACGUCUGAACUGUAAACUGUGGUUCUAGCAUCUUUUUGCGUUGCUGGUAGAGCUGAUUAUUGAUAUCAGACAAGGUAGUUUUGACUUUCCACGUAUCCUAGGUGAGUUUGUAGGUUUUCAAUUUGUGUCCUAGUGUUGCCAGAUCUAGUAGCAGUGAAGACAGUCAAAUUCUGACUGGAUUACUAAUGUCGCUGAUAUUGACAUUCCACCUACUUUGUUUGUUCUCAUUUCAUACCCUAGUGUGGCCAGAUGUAGUAUACUUAGC